rnacentral:rRNA from 1 species
UACGGAGGGUGCAAGCGUUAAUCGGAAUUACUGGCGUAAAGCGUGCGUAGACGGUUAUGUAAGUCGGGUGUGAAAGCCCCGGGCUCAACCUGGGAAUUGCAUUCGAGACUGCAUAGCUAGGGUUCGGAAGAGGGAAGCGGAAUUUCCGGUGUAGCGGUGAAAUGCGUAGAUAUCGGAGGGAACACCAGUGGCGAAAGCGGCUUCCUGGUCCAGAACCGACGUUCAGGCACGAAAGCGUGGGGAGCAAACAGG